UUAUAUUGUUUUUUAUACGCUAGUAUAUCGACCCUCAAACGUUAUAUAUGGCUAAGCUAGUUUGUUCAUAUAUUUUCAACAAGUAUAUUUUUCUUUGUAGUUUAAAUAAAUAAAUAUUCGGGCUUAUUUGACCUAGAAACGAAAGCAUAAAAAUGAAAAAUUUAAUAAUAUAUUAUUCCUUUGAUCGAUGUUUAGUUGAACUGCCUUCUCAAUUUGCUACUUGUUAAUGAGCUAGCCUUGGUUUGUUUCGGGGUUAUGUUUUCAUUUCGAAACUAACCUUCAAAUAUAACUUUACUGUUCUAAUCCAUCGGCAUAUAAACAUAUAUGGUUUUUUCCAUUGACUAAUUUUUUGGAAGGCAUACAAUUACAGAUUUAUUUAUU